UGAAGUAUAACACAAGAGAAGCACUCCAGGCUGGUGUAGAGUGGAAAGUGGAAGGUUUUAUUAAAGGACAGCAGAAAAGACUUCCUUCCAGAGGAAGAAGGGGACUCCGAAAGGCAGAAUCUGUGGGAGGGGGAGGUCUUCCUUUUUUUAUAUCUUAGGUCUUCUUUCAGUCUCCCACAUUCCUGUCCUUUGUUUCCCUCUCUCCUGCAGUGAUAGAAUGCAGGUGGGAAGGCCCAAAGGUGGGAGAUAGGUGGACUGGAGGAGAAUCUGGGCAGGAAGGGCCUGGGGUGAUUUGAUUAGAACCUUGCUGUUUUCUGAGAGCUGCUUCAUUAACAGUUCCUUAGGAUGGGUUCUGGACCUUGGGGACAUUAACAUUUCAAUUUCCCCAGGUGCUGUUCUGGUUUCCUGGACUCCGUUUUCUCUAUCCUGAUUUACCUAACUACACUAACUGCCUAUCUUUAAAUCAGGCUUCACCCUGCUGAGCUAAGGCACUCUUGCCUUCUCAUUUCACCUAUUGUACUUCAAACAAGGGUUCUUUUCACGGUCUACCAAGAACUAUUGUGGGCUUUUUUUUGUUCUUUCAUUUUUUGUGCUUUUGCUAAGAUUUUGCUGUUUUAAAUAGCCUCCAAAGUGUACUACUUAGAUGUUGUCUAGUGUUCCUAAGUACGAGAAGACUUACAGGGAAAAGAUUGGUGUUGGAAAAGCUUCAAUGGGAAUGAAUAUAGCGCUGUUGGCCAUGAGUUCAACACAAGGAAUCAACAAUAAUAUGAAAUGAGAUGUCUUUAAAUAGAAGCACACAGAAAACUAGGAUAUGUGUUGAUUGGUUGAUGACAAUGUGACAACAGGUUCACAAUUUACCUUAAUUUACCUAGGAGCAAUAGUUCAAUGUUUUCCAAUUCAGUGUUGGAAGUGACUGUAGAACUUUACCACAAAUAAUGAGAACCAACCACUUACCAUACAAUGAAAAAUUAUUUGAACACAAAAAGGAACAAAGUACAAUACAUACAAUAACAUGGAUGACUCUUAAAAAUAUGAUAGAUGAAAGAAGCCAGACAGAAAAAACCACAUAGUAUGUGACCCUAUUUAUAGUGCAUUCAGAAUAGGCAAAUUCUUAGAGACAGAAAGUGAUUGGUGAUUGCCAGGGACCAAGGGGUGGGAACUAG
rnacentral:lncRNA from 1 species